rnacentral:rRNA from 1 species
UGGCGGCCUUAGCGCGGUGGUCCCACCUGACCCCAUGCCGAACUCAGAAGUGAAACGCCGUAGCGCCGAUGGUAGUGUGGGGUCUCCCCAUGCGAGAGUAGGGAA